rnacentral:rRNA from 1 species
AUUGAACGCUGGCGGCAGGCCUAACACAUGCAAGUCGAACGGUAACAGGGAUCAGCUUGCUGAUUCGCUGACGAGUGGCGGACGGGUGAGUAAUGUCUGGGAAACUGCCUGAUGGAGGGGGAUAACUACUGGAAACGGUAGCUAAUACCGCAUAACGUCGCAAGACCAAAGAGGGGGACCUUCGGGCCUCUUGCCAUCGGAUGUGCCCAGAUGGGAUUAGCUAGUAGGUGGGGUAACGGCUCACCUAGGCGACGAGCCCUAGCUGGUCGGAGAGGAUGACCGGCCACACUGGAACGUGGACACGGUCCAGACUCCUACGGUAGGCAGCAGUGGGGAAUAUUGCACAAUGGGCGCAAGCCUGAUGCAGCCAUGGCGCGUGUAUGAAGAAGGCCUUCGGGUUGUAAAGUACUUUCAGCGGGGAGGAAGGGAGUAAAGUUAAUACCUUGGCUCAUUGACGUUACCCGCAGAAGAAGCACCGGCUAACUCCGUG